UCUCUCGCUCUGUUCUCCCCUAAUGAAACAUUCAAACAUCAGAAAGAAAAUUCACUUUUUAUCUUCUACUCUAUUAUUCCCACUUCAUUUCUCCCCUGACGGAGUGUUCUUCGCACCUUCAUAAGCUUCAAGAAGAGUGAAUACAAGCCUCUAAAUCAAACCAAAUACUUGAAUCAAAGUACUAGAAUUAUAACUAGAGCAUGAGAACAAAACUUAGAUUCCUCUGGAAAAAUAAACCUGCAGAAAAAU
rnacentral:lncRNA from 1 species